rnacentral:lncRNA from 1 species
AUUCUUCCAUAGCUGUUAAUUCUUCUCCGUCUUGGGUAUAUAUGGUGUUUAAUAGUCCAUAGUCAAAACAGGUUUUUACUAGGCUUGGGUUAGUUUUGGGUAGUGCAAUUAGUUUGUUAUAUCCUUGUAAUUUUUGGGUUAUAUAGUUGGUGUUUGGUUCUUUGAUGUUUGUAGCUCUGGGGUUAUGGUUUAGAAAAGUUUGUACUCUGUAUAUAUUUUCUAUGUAUUUCUGGGCGGUGUAGUUGUAAACUUUUUUAUCUUGGUUUAGGCUAUCUCGGUAUGUGCUAACUUGUGGGGGUAUGAACAAGUGGUC